UACGUAGGGUGCGAGCGUUGUCCGGAAUUACUGGGCGUAAAGGGCUCGUAGGCGGCCAACUAAGUCGGAUGUGAAAUCCCCAGGCUCAACUUGGGAACUGCAUCCGAUACUGGAUGGCUUGAAUCCGGGAGAGGGAUGCAGAAUUCCAGGUGUAGCGGUGAAAUGCGUAGAUAUCUGGAGGAAUACCGGUGGCGAAGGCGGCAUCCUGGACCGGCAUUGACGCUGAUGAGCGAAAGCGUGGGGAGCGAACAGG
rnacentral:rRNA from 1 species